AGAGCGAACGCUGGCGGCAGGCCUAACACAUGCAAGUCGAGCGCCCCGCAAGGGGAGCGGCAGACGGGAGAGUAACACGUGGGAACGUACCCUUUGGUUCGGAACAACACAGGGAAACUUGUGCUAAUACCGGAUAAGCCCUUACGGGGAAAGAUUUAUUGCCAAAGGAUCGGCCCGCGUCUGAUUAGCUUGUUGGUGAGGUAACGGCUCACCAAGGCUACGAUCAGUAGCUGGUCUGAGAGGAUGAUCAGCCUCACUGGGACUGAGACACGGCCCAGACUCCUACGGGAGGCAGCAGUGGGGAAUAUUGGACAAUGGGCGCAAGCCUGAUCCAGCCAUGCCGCGUGGAUGAUGAAGGCCCGUAGGGUUGUAAAGUCCUUUCGACGGGAAGAUAAUGACGGUACCCGUAGAAGAGCCCGGCUAACUUCGUGCCAGCAGCCGC
rnacentral:rRNA from 1 species